UACGUAGGGUGCGAGCGUUGUCCGGAAUUAUUGGGCGUAAAGGGCUCGUAGGCGGUCUGUCGCGUCUGCCGUGAAAGCCCGGAGCUUAACUCCGGGUCUGCGGUGGAUACGGGCAGACUAGAGUUCGGUAGGGGAGACUGGAAUUCCUGGUGUAGCGGUGAAAUGCGCAGAUAUCAGGAGGAACACCGGUGGCGAAGGCGGGUCUCUGGGCCGAUACUGACGCUGAGGAGCGAAAGCGUGGGGAGCGAACAGGAUUAGAAACCCCCGUAGUCC
rnacentral:rRNA from 1 species